AUUGAACGCUGGCGGCAGGCCUAACACAUGCAAGUCGAACGGUAACAGGAAGAAGCUUGCUUCUUUGCUGACGAGUGGCGGACGGGUGAGUAAUGUCUGGGAAACUGCCUGAUGGAGGGGGAUAACUACUGGAAACGGUAGCUAAUACCGCAUAAUGUCGCAAGACCAAAGAGGGGGACCUUCGGGCCUCUUGCCAUCGGAUGUGCCCAGAUGGGAUUAGCUAGUAGGUGGGGUAACGGCUCACCUAGGCGACGAUCCCUAGCUGGUCUGAGAGGAUGACCAGCCACACUGGAACUGAGACACGGUCCAGACUCCUACGGGAGGCAGCAGUGGGGAAUAUUGCACAAUGGGCGCAAGCCUGAUGCAGCUAUGCCCCGCGUAUGAAGAAGGCCUUCGGGUUGUAAAGUACUUUCAGCGGGGAGGAAGGGAGUAAAGUUAAUACCUUUGCUCAUUGACGUUACCCGCAGAAGAAGCACCGGCUAACUCCGUG
rnacentral:rRNA from 1 species